rnacentral:rRNA from 1 species
UACGUAGGGUGCAAGCGUUAAUCGGAAUUACUGGGCGUAAAGCGUGCGCAGGCGGCUAUGCAAGACAGAUGUGAAAUCCCCGGGCUCAACCUGGGAACUGCAUUUGUGACUGCAUGGCUAGAGUACGGUAGAGGGGGAUGGAAUUCCGCGUGUAGCAGUGAAAUGCGUAGAUAUGCGGAGGAACACCGAUGGCGAAGGCAUCCCCUGGACCUGUACUGACGCUCAUGCA